rnacentral:rRNA from 1 species
AGAGUUUGAUUCUGGCUCAGGAUGAACGCUAGCUACAGGCUUAACACAUGCAAGUCGAGCGGAAUGCUUCGGGCAUUUAGCGGCAGACGGGUGAGUAACACGUAUCCAACCUUUCCCUUACUCGGGUAUAGCCUCGGGAAACUGAGAGUAAUCCCCGAUGCAGUGUACGAACAGCAUUAUUUGCACACUAAAGAUUUAUCGGUAAGGGGUGGGGAUGCGUUCCAUUAGGUAGUAGGCGGGGUAACGGCCCACCUAGCCGAUGAUGGAUAGGGGUUCUGAGAGGAAGGUCCCCCACAUUGGAACUGCGACACGGUCCAAACUCCUACGGGAGGCAGCAGUGAGGAAUAUUGGUCAAUGGUCGAAGGACUGAACCAGCCAAGUAGCGUGCAGGAUGACGGCCCUAUGGGUUGUAAACUGCUUUUGUGCGGGAAUAACGGUCUCCACGUGUGGAGAUGUGCAUGUACCGUACGAAUAAGGAUCGGCUAACUCCGUGCCAGCCGCUGC